rnacentral:rRNA from 1 species
AGUAGUUUGACUCCGUGGCUACAGGACGAACGCUGGCGGCGUGCUUAACACAUGCAAGUCGAACGGAAAGGCCCUGCUUUUGUGGGGUGCUCGAGUGGCGAACGGGUGAGUAACACGUGAGUAACCUGCCCUUGACUUUGGGAUAACUUCAGGGAAACUGGGGCUAAUACCGGAUAGGAGCUCCUGCUGCAUGGUGGGGUUGGAAAGUUUCGGCGGUUGGGGAUGGACUCGCGGCUUAUCAGCUUGUUGGUGGGGUAGUGGCUUACCAAGGCUUUGACGGGUAGCCGGCCUGAGAGGGUGACCGGCCACAUUGGGACUGAGAUACGGCCCAGACUCCUACGGGAGGCAGUAGUGGGGAAUAUUGCACAAUGGGCGGAAGCCUGAUGCAGCAACGCCGCGUGCGGGAUGACGGCCUUCGGGUUGUAAACCGCUUUCGCCUGUGACGAAGCGUGAGUGACGGUAAUGGGUAAAGAAGCACCGGCUAACUACGUG